rfam:Rattus norvegicus chromosome 15, whole genome shotgun sequence.
UGGGAUUUAGCUCAGUGGUAGAGCGCUUGCCUAGCAAGCACAAGGCCUGGGUUUGGUCCCCAGUUCCGA